rnacentral:lncRNA from 1 species
UGUAAUCCUCUGUAACGCCUCUUUUCGAAUCGAAGCAGCUCUCAUACAAUCACCAAGCUUUGAUUCCAACGAAUAUGAUGGUGUUUUACCCUGAACAACAGAUUGUAUAAUCUCCUCGUCAUCUUCCGAUAAUGCGGGCAUAAUUAUUGGCGCAGGCUUCUCCGUUUGGGGCAAUUUUUCGAACAGGUGGUGGAGGCACAACGCAGCCAAGAGUAGUGGCAGCAGCACAUGGUGGCAUAAUUAUUGGCGAAGGCUUCUCCGUUUGGGACAAAGCUACCUUAGCAGGUUGCUGUGGAACCAUUGGGGCAAUUUUUCGAACAGGUGGUGGAGGCACAACGCAGCCAAGAGUAGUGGCAGCAGCACAUGGUCCACGGCGGCUAUCUUCCUCAAUAAUAAGCUGCUCAGCAUUCUCAUCCUCAAUAUCCCAUGAAUCACUAUUCGACCUGGACACAAACGACUGAACAAACCCAA